rnacentral:rRNA from 1 species
CAGCAGCCACGGGAAAACGGAGGGGGCUAGCGUUGUUCGGAAUUACUGGGCGUAAAGCGCACGUAGGCGGCUUUGUAAGUUAGAGGUGAAAGCCCGGGGCUCAACCCCGGAAUUGCCUUUAAGACUGCAGAGCUAGCAGGUGAGAGAGGUGAGUGGAAUUCCGAGUGUAGAGGUGAAAUUCGUAGAUAUUCGGAAGAACACCAGUGGCGAAGGCGGCUCACUGGCUCAUACUGGACGCUGAGGUGCGAAAGCGUGGGGAGCAAACAGGAUUAGAUACCCCCGUAGUCCCUGUCUCUUAUAC